UGGGACACAUAGUUCCACAACUGGACUGGAACUGGACUGUUGUCAAGCACCACAUAAACAUUUUCCUACACACUAGCUUGCUACUUUGUGUAGGUCUACACGUUACCGUCCUCUCCUGAUGACCAUUCAUAAUUUAACUAAAAUGUUAUUUGAGGAAAUAUGUUAAUCUUUGUGGUGCGACGUUUGUUACAAUCUAAGAUAGAUAACGAUUGUUAAUGUAAUUAAUUAAUGGUUAUUAGAACACCUGUAAAGCGGAGUGAUACAUGUAUAGUUAAAAGUCCCAGUGUUGUUAUUCUCUACUCCAAUCAAAUUACUUGGUCGUAAAAAAAAUACUUGUGAACAUCAUUUUGAGUUCUUUUCACCCUUUUCAUAGUAAGCAGUGGGAACGUUUUACUUGCCUUUUAGUAACGUUCAAGUGCGUUAUCUGCUGUGUUUUUCAGACUUUUUCAUUGAAACUGUUAUUGAGCCAUAUCAGUAGAUUUCAGUCGCAGCCCUGAUUUCUGCUUGCUCUGUGGUAUUGGUGGAUGCACUGAGGAAUAUAGAGUGUACAAUUCCUUCUAUCAUCAUGUAAAGAGAAGAUACACCUUCAACACCUACUUGAAGGCACCCGACCAGGUGAACAGCCAUCGGAGGAAAGCCGAGUAAGUAGCUAGCUAGGAUUUGGUUUUGUUUACUGCUGGAUUUUAAAAAAAAAUGUUUUAAUGAAUGGACGACACACGGACCAAAGUCAUACUGUCCAUAGGCUAUUCGAUCAUUUUAGCUAUAAUGACUCUUAUGGCUAAAGCUGGGUUAAUGUGAAAAUAAUCAAUGUCCCAUAGGAACAAAACACUUAAAUAGCUCUAAUGGUGAAACUAAAUACACUUUGAAAUAAUAAUCUGUUUCUUUGACAUGUGGUACACAGGACAACAUUCAACCCGAUCACCUUCUAGCUAACUCCAGCAUCACUGAUCAGCAACUCCAUACACCUGACUCAGAUGAAGGGAAAAGGGGCAUUGACCAACAUGGAGCUGUCACAGUAAGUAGGAUCUGACUACACAUGCCACUGCUUUUGUGAUAAAUGCCAGAGCCAAGCAUCGUCUCUCACAGAACGGCGUGAAUGACAUUGUUGCUGGGGUACAGCCGUAUCAAUCACCACUAUUGGACAACCUCAGGAAGCAGAUGGAGGCAGUCCUAAAUAAGCAUUCAGAAAGCAGAUGGAGGCAGUGCUAAAGAAGCAUUCAGGAAGCAGAUGGGGGCAGUGCUAAAGAAGCAUUCAGAAAGCAGAUGGAGGAAGUGCUAAAGAAGCAUUCAGGAAGCAGAUGGGGGCAGUGCUAAAGAAGCAUUCAGAAAGCAGAUGGAGGAAGUGCUAAAGAAGCAUUCAGGAAGCAGAUGGGGCAGGUGCUAAAGAAGCAUUCAGAAAGCAGAUGUAGGAAGUGCUAAAGAAGCAUUCAGGAAGCAGAUGGGGGCAGUGCUAAAGAAGCAUUCAGAAAGCAGAUGGAGGGAGUGCUAAAGAAGCAUUCAGGAAGCAGAUGGGGGCAGUGCUAAAGAAACAUUCAGAAAGCAGAUGGAGGAAGUGCUAAAGAAGCAUUCAGGAAGCAGAUGGAGGCAGUGCUUAAGAAGCAUUCAGGAUGCACAUCAGGUCAACAUGAAGAAGAUGCAAUGGAUAUAUGUGACAAUUUCAUUGAGCCUUUUGCUGGCAUUGCAACAUUUCGAAAGCGCAGUGUUAUUAAGAAGCAGUUUAGCUGUUUGGAUGCAGAUGACAUUACAAAUGCUCAAACCAUAUGCAGGAUGAACCAUAUGCAGGAUGAACUAUAUGUAGGAUGAACCAUAUGCAGGAUGAACCAUAUGCAGGAUGAACUAUAUGCAGGAUGAACCAUAUGCAGGAUGAACCAUAUGCAGGAUGAACCAUAUGCAGGAUGAACCAUAUGCAGGAUGAACCAUAUGCAGGAUGAACCAUAUGCAGGAUGAACCAUAUGCAGGAUGAACCAUAUGCAGGAUGAAAUGUGGAGGAUCAAAGACAUUUUCAUCAAAGACUAAUUAUUUCAUUAUGUACCAUUAGUCAAAAGUCUAGAACAGUUCUUAUCACACCCAAGGAUUUUGUCUGGUUGAAAAGGGACCCCAGAUGUGCAGGGAAUGUUUUUUUCAUGACAUUGUUGAUGGUGCUCUUCUAAAAUCAAAUCCCUUAUUUUCAGAGAAACCAAAUGCAUUGCAGAUUGUUCUGUACACGGAUGAAAUAGAGAUCUGUAAUCCACCAGGAUCCUUUGCAUCAAAAAACAAGUUGUUAAUGGUGUACUACACCCUAGGAAACAUAAAUCCAAAAUACAGGUCUAAACUGGCUGCUAUCAGGCUACUUGCCGUGGCUAGAUCACCAGACCUCCGUCAAUCUGGUGUAGAUGUAAAAUUGAAUAGAAUCAAGGAAGACAUGGAUACAUUGUACAGUGGGGUUCAAAUGCAAACUAUUAACGGAGAGAAAAUGAUAUAUGGUGCCAUGGUCUCUCUCUGUGGAGACACCUGGCACAACAUGAACUAGCAGGGUUCAAAGAGGGUGUGGGCUUUACCUACAGUAAGUGCAGACACUGUGAGUGUUCUUUUGAAGACAUGCAGUCACUCUUCAAUGAGGAUGCAUAUACUAAAAGGACAUUGGAGAAGCAUGUCAGACAGUGUGAUGAAAUAGAAAAGGCUAAGACGGACUUUGAUAUUAUAGAACAACUCCGCAAGACAUUAUGCAUGUAAUUUUGGAGGGCAUUGGAAAUCAAAUGUGUUUUGAAUCAUCUUGUUGUGUCAGGACAGAUUGAUCUGGACUGCUAUUCUUGGUUUCCUUUAUUCCCCUCUAGAUGUUAGAGAUCGGCCAUCCCCAAUUUCUGUUAGUACAUUAACGUCAAGUGAUGGUAAACUAAAACAGUCAUCUGGGCAAAUGCUUGUCCUGCUAGGGAUAUUGCCAUUUGUUUUGGAGAGUUUGGAAGUCAAUGCAUACAGUAUAUGAUGCAUUUGCCAUCACAGAUAAAGUCAUUGGGGCCAAUGGUUAGACAUAUGUGUAUGCGUUUCAAGUCUAAACAUUGUUUCUUUAAACAAUGGACUUCCAAGCUAAAUUUAAAACAUAUUUGCAGGUCUUUGUUUAAUCAUAACCAAAUAUAUGAAAGUUGCCAAAGUGUUGACAGUUCAAUGCACCCAAUUUUUUCAAAUGAAAUGUAUCAGAGGUUAAAGAUCUACAAUAUUUCUGUGGAAAAUUCAGGGACUUCCGAGGUUUCAAUAAAGUUAACCAUGCUGUAUCAGUCAAAUGGCUUGUGAUACAUUUGAAUAAAUACAUAACUCAGAAGUCCAUGAUCUUUGCCAAAGUACUGAAUGAUACAGUAAUAUGGCAGAAUUUGGACUGGUCAAAACACAUUUCUUGUUGAUUCUAGGCUUUAUUGUUUGGAAUAUCAACCAUUUCAAACUAUACGUUUUGCAGAGAAAGUGGGUAGGAGUCUGUUCCCAUGUUUAUGCCUCCUCUGUCUCGUCCCGCCCCCACACACACACACUACAUGU